UCCGUAACCGAGCGCAACCCUUGUCCUUAGUUACCAGCACGUUAUGGUGGGCGACUCUAAGGAGACUGCCGGUGGACAAACCGGAGGAAGGUGGGGAUGACGUCAAGUCAUCAUGGCCCUUACGGCCUGGGCUACACACGUGCUACAAUGGUCGGUACAAAGGGUUGCCAAGCCGCUAGGUGGAGCUAAUCCCAUAAAACCGAUCGUAGUCCGGAUCGCAGUCUGCAACUCGACUGCGUGAAGUCGGAAUCGCUAGUAAUCGUGAAUCAGAAUGUCACGGUGAAUACGUUCCCGGGCCUU
rnacentral:rRNA from 1 species